ACGUAGGGGGCAAGCGUUGUUCGGAAUUACUGGGCGUAAAGGGCGCGUAGGCGGCGUCGAUAGUCGGGCGUGAAAUACCUGGGCUCAACCCGGGAAUGGCGUUCGAAACUCCAAUGCUUGAGUGUGGGAGAGGAUAGUGGAAUUCCCAGUGUAGAGGUGAAAUUCGUAGAUAUUGGGAAGAACACCAGUGGCGAAGGCGGCUAUCUGGACCACAACUGACGCUGAGGCGCGAAAGCGUGGGGAGCAAACAGGA
rnacentral:rRNA from 1 species